rnacentral:misc_RNA from 1 species
ACUCCAGGAGUUGGUCUGGGGUGA